ACUGAAUAGAAAGUGACUAUAAAUGAAUGGGAGUCACUGCAUAUAUGAAUGAAACAGACUUUCCAAGCUGAGAAAAAAUGUUUGUAGAGUGAAAUUAUCUUCACCUGCAUUAGGCUUGAGUAACUGGGAUUUAUGCAGGUUCAGAGAGUUGGAGUAGAAGCUGCAGCCCUCUAUGCCAGUUCAGAAGAUAGAGGUCCCCUUACAUGACUGCUCUGCUUACAGGUCUCCCUGCUCAUCCCCACAGCAGAAAUGAGGUGACAUGAAGAACCUUGUGUUGGUACUUCACUCCAAGUCCAUUAUAUGGUCCGUCAUGAGGUUACUAUGAAUAUUCAGAUGAAAAAGCUCUCUGAUGAAAAUGAGUAUACACGUGGUAAGUUUUAGUGGAUUUAUUGUGCUACUGAGGUAUAAGAGAAUCAAAAGCCUGGCAUACAGUUCUUCAGACUGUGAUCUAUUUCAUCAGACCUCACAAGGUAAACAGAGACAGGCCUGGUCAAUUAAGAAAAAUUGGAGUAUUGCAGGAAGUGGUGUUGGUAAUUCAGUACAUUUCUUUCUCUUCCCCAAGAGUCUGUGAUGAACUAAUAACCCAGUUCAGUGUUAGGUGCUUAUGAAAAGGUAAAAAUAAAGCCCAAUGUGUUCAUAAAAUAUUGUAGUGAACUUCCCACAAGAUUAGA